AUUGAACGCUGGCGGCAUGCCUUACACAUGCAAGUCGAACGGCAGCACGGGAGCAAUCCUGGUGGCGAGUGGCGAACGGGUGAGUAAUAUAUCGGAACGUGCCCAGUCGUGGGGGAUAACGUAGCGAAAGCUACGCUAAUACCGCAUACGAUCUAUGGAUGAAAGCGGGGGAUCGCAAGACCUCGCGCGAUUGGAGCGGCCGAUAUCAGAUUAGGUAGUUGGUGGGGUAAAAGCCUACCAAGCCUUCGAUCUGUAGCUGGUCUGAGAGGACGACCAGCCACACUGGAACUGAGACACGGUCCAGACUCCUACGGGAGGCAGCAGUGGGGAAUUUUGGACAAUGGGGGCAACCCUGAUCCAGCCAUGCCGCGUGAGUGAAGAAGGCCUCGGUUGUAAGACUCUUCUAGACGAAGAAAACGACAUCGGUGAAUAACCGGUCGUGGAGUGACGGUACCGGUAAGAAGAAAGACGACCGGCUAACUAACGUAGGCCACGCGAGCC
rnacentral:rRNA from 1 species